rnacentral:rRNA from 1 species
GAUGAACGCUGGCGGCGUGCCUAAUACAUGCAAGUCGAGCGAACAGACGAGGAUCUUGCUCCUCUGACGUUAGCGGCGGACGGGUGAGUAACACGUGGAUAACCUACCUAUAAGACUGGGAUAACUUCGGGAAACCGGAGCUAAUACCGGAGAAUAUAUUGAACCGCAUGGUUCAAUAGUGAAAGACGGCUUUGCUGGCACUUAUAGAUGGUUCCGCGCUGCAUUAGCUAGUUGGUAAGUUAACGGCUUACCAAGGCAACGAUGCGUAGCCGACCUGAGAGGGUGAUCGGCCACCUGGGAACUGAGACACGGUCCAGACUCCUACGGGAGGCAGCAGUAGGGAAUCUUCCGCAAUGGGCGAAAGCCUGACGGAGCAACGCCGCGUGAGUGAUGAAGGUCUUCGGAUCGUAAAACUCUGUUAUUAGGGAAGAACAAAUGUGUAAGUAACUAUGCACGUCUUGACGGUACCUAAUCAGAAAGCCACGGCUAACUACGUG